UACAAUUAUAAAUAUUACGAGUGGAGGAAGAGACUGUUAUGUAACUUGGGACUUAAAAGAGUUUUUGAUAAAGAACACGAUCGCGAUGCGAACUGGUAUAGUGCGUCGACGGAAAUUUGUAGUGUCUGUUUUGGGGACAAAACAGACGGUCUUUUUAUAUCAAAUUUUGAUGACGUUUUUGGGUUUCGAGAAUCAUCAUUUUUGGGGGGUGAGGCCAAAAGGUUAUCUUGUGUCUAGGAAUGGUGUUGGGCCACAUUACUAAAUCAAUUACUUAUCUCAAAAGAAAAAAUAAUAUUAAUUUGGGAAAUAGUCAUUUUAGUGCGGCGAAUAAAAAGGAUUAUCAUUUAGGGAAGCGCUUAUCACUUCAUGAUAGCGCAAAAGGAUAAGUUUAAUUGAUUUGGUUGUCGAAAUAUGUGAGACUCUUAGGUCAAAAGAUUCAAUUUAGAAUUGAAUUAUUAGGCUUGAGUUCGAAUGCCAUUUAGAUAGAAAAAUGAAUUAUGUUGCUUACGUUUAAAUGUCGUUCCGAUAAGGAGAUGCGUGCGUGAGAAUUUAGAAUACACGGAAUAAUCAUAUGAUUAAGCGUGGCACAUAACAUUACUUACACACUGGGCUCUUAGUAAGUUACCAGGAAGAUGGUCCAAAUUAGCUGUGUGUUUAUCAUCAGAUAAAUCGCUGUCUGCUCCCGAUUCAUUUCCAUCUUCAGGAGGCUCUACAUAUGCAGGGUGAUUCAAAAUUAGCGUUAUUCCUCUGGAGGUGUUGUCUGGAGGUCUGGCGAUGUUUUAGCAUUCAUGCAGGACGUUCUCCAGAAGUAAUUAUGUGAAUUCUCGCUUUUAAUGUGGCUAGGAUUGAUACGCCAACCUUUGUGACGGAUAUUCAUAUUGGAUUUUCUAACUGGCUGUAAGAUGUGAAUACAUUUGCUUGGUUCACAAUAUGGUCCGUGGCACCAGAGUACAAAAUGAAUGUUAUUAGUCCCGUUUUAAUCCCUUUUUUUGCCGAGCUGAAUUUCCUACCAUGAAUGCAAAACCCUUUUCACUAUUUGAUCUGUACGCAGUGUUUGUAAAAUGCGUUCACGAGGCUCUUCAUUUUAUACUGAUUAUAACAAUAUUUUAUUGUAUGACUUGUUCUCUCACAAUGUCCACACUUCAUAUUGGAUUUAAAAUGGCUUGUUGAUUUUCUGUUCCUUUGAUUUGGAUGAUGUCUGCUGGUUGUUUGGAAAAUUUGUCCUUUUGUUUAUGGUGUUUGUAUUUACUUGAAGUCGGGAAUGUUGUAGUUUGAUGCCGUUCUACAUGCAAUAUUUUACCACUGGUGUUAUUACUCUCGUUCUGAAUUGUUGAUUCGUAAUCGAGAAAUUUAGAAUUGGUAAACGCCAAACUUACAUUUUCAUCUGUUAAGGUGUGAUUUGCUGUCACUAUAUUAUCACAGGAUGCUGGUAGCGUGAGAAGGAGAUGAGCUAGACUUUUUUUAAUAGACUUAAUAUAACUUUUGACAUUUCCUUCAAAUUGCAUCCAGCAGGUAACAGAUUAAUUAAUAAUUCGUCAAAACUCAAGAACUGUUUUGCUAACGUUGAAUGGCAUUUAGACUUAGCAAUUUAUUAUGAACUGUUAACUGUAUUGCUAAGCUUUUCCUUUUGUAGAUGGAGUCUAGUUUUUCAAUAAUUUGGCGAGUCGUUGUUCCUUAGGUGACAACGCAUAUUAUUGUGUCGCUAAGACAUUCAUUUAUAAGACAAUAAUGGGUAUGACCACUUCUUUCCCUAACAACUUCUCUCAUACGAUUAAGCAUAUAUCUAAUAAAAUUUGCUAUUGUUCUGCAACGAUACGCUCUGGGAUCGAGUUUGGGGUCUGAAGCCUAGCUCGAAUUUUUCGUUUUAGCUCAUCCCAUAAUUGUUCGAGUGGAUUGAGGUCAGGACUGUAUGCUGGCCACUCCAUAAGCCGAAAACCGACUUCUGCAAUUACUUAUUAAUACAAGAUUACAAUGUAAUCUUGCAUGAUUCUUGCGGUGUGCGACCUGGCAUUGUCAUGCAUAAAGGUAAAUUCGUCUACAAUGUAGUCGACUAAGGCCGGAGUCUACAAUACAAGUAUAUACUCGAAACAAGCUUUACUUGAGAUAUACUUCGCGAUUUGGGUUCUACAAUGACGGAAUAACUGUGUUCCCAGUAUAUCUGCGGUAUAUCUUAUACCGCCAAAAUUGGGGAGAUGUAUCUGGAACAACGGAAUGCUUGCAUUCUAUUGGUCAAUUUGGCGGUUAACAUAACCUAGUGUUAAUGUUUACUGUUUGUAUGCUAUUGAGCAAAGUCGGUUUGCUGCAUAAUAUUCGUAUUUUCGAUAUUACUUAUAAUACCUAUCAACAUUAAAGAAAAUGGAUUUCACGGACUUGAAUGUAUUCGAUUCCGAUGACGACAUGGAUGAUUUAUUCUUACGUCGGCAACCUAAAGUGUUUAGAAGUCGUACAAAUUACUUUGAAGAAUUUGAUGAUUUGGAGUUUUGCAAACGCUUCGGCUUGCAAAAAGGUACUGUUAAUUUGUUCAUGAGCCAAAUUGAAAAUAGAAUAAAAGCACCAACUAGCAAAACCUCAGAUUGCAAUAUUGUUACUCAAGUAACCGACGCCAUGGCAAGAUUACGACCAGUAUAUGUUCGAUUUCCUGAAACUAAAGCAGAGAUCUUGUCAACAAAGGAAACCUUUUAUGAAAUUGCAAGAUCUCCUUAUGUUGUCGGUGCAAUUGAUUGCACGCAUGUUCGCAUCCAAUAACCUGGUGGAAAUGAGGCAGAACGAUGUCAAAAUUGUAAGAGCUAUUUUUCGUGGAAUGUACAAGUAGUUUGCGAUGCACGUCUUCGUUUCACCGACAUAGUAGCAAGAUGGCCUGGAUCGUUACACGAUCAGACUAUUUUUAACAAUAGUAGGCUUAAGGCAAGACUCCAAAGUGGGCAUCACGAAAAUUCAAUUCUCCUAGGGGACGGUGGAUAUGGAAACACCAACUUUUUACUGACUUCUUUAAAGCAACCUUCUACAGCCGCUGAGAGUUUGUAUAAUGAAUCCCAUAUCCGCUCUCGUAAUUGUAUACAGGAGGUCAUUUGGUGUAUGGAAACGAAGAUUUCCUGUACUAUCCUUGGGUAUGCGCCUUUCACAGGAACACUCCCAAGCAGUCAUUGUAGCUACCACAGUGCUCCACAGUCUGGCAAUACAAGAAAGAGAUGGUGACCCCCGUUCUGAAGUUGACGAUAAAAAUGCUCUUGAAGAAAAUGUUCCCCAGUUUAACUCUGAUUUUAGUGACCAAGAAAACAAUAGAAUGCGCAUGAUGGUGAUUAAUAAUCAUUUUUCUAAUUUGGUGUAAGUUUUUUAUGCUUGUGUCAAUUAGUGAUUGUCAGUUUGGUUUACUUUAUUGGCAUGUUAAGUAAGAGCUGUUUGGCUGUUUCAUUAAAUAUUU
rnacentral:lncRNA from 1 species